rnacentral:rRNA from 1 species
CUUGUUGGAGAGGUAACGGCUCACCAAGGCAUCGACGGGUAGCUGGUCUGAGAGGAUGAUCAGCCACACUGGAACUGAGACACGGUCCAGACUCCUACGGGAGGCAGCAGUGGGGAAUCUUGCACAAUGGGCGAAAGCCUGAUGCAGCGAUGCCGCGUGCGGGAAGAAGGCCCUAGGGUUGUAAACCGCUUUCAGGAGGGAAGAAAAUGACGGUACCUCCAGAAGAAGGUGCGGCCAACUACGUGCCAGCAGCCGCGGUGACACGUAGGCACCAAGCGUUAUCCGGAUUUAUUGGGCGUAAAGAGCUCGUAGGCGGUUUGGUAAGUCGGGUGUGAAAACUCUGGGCUCAACCCAGAGAGGCCACUCGAUACUGCUAUGACUAGAGUACGGUAGGGGAGCGGGGAAUUCCUGGUGUAGCGGUGAAAUGCGCAGAUAUCAGGAGGAACACCAGCGGCGAAGGCGCCGCUCUGGGCCGUAACUGACGCUGAGGAGCGAAAGCAUGGGUAGCAAACAGGAUUAGAUACCCUGGUAGUCCAUGCCGUAAACGUUGGGCACUAGGUGUGGGUCUCAACCAACGAGAUCCGCGCCGUCGCUAACGCAUUAA